ACCUUGUCUGGAUGUUUCUCUCUUUUGUCCUUCAACACAGAGACGGCUUCACUGGAGUGAAUGAGACGGAUGUUGACUUGUGCUUCACCGGGCCAUGGCAGGAGGAAUGUUGCUAGAUAGCUCCCAUUUCUAUAGUCUUUCACGUGGCCAGUUACUCCAGCUUUAAGUUUCGGAGAGUGAAGCUUGACCUGAAAAUAGUCUCCUCCAUAGGUCUUAGGUCGAGCCAUGUGGUCUUUUGCCAUGAUGAGAACUUCUAAUGUCUCUCCAACUUUGUACUUGGCCCUCUUAUUCACUAUGUGAUAUUGACUUUGUUUGGGACUGGUAGAGUUAGAAUACUGGAGCUCUUUUAGUGGAAUAUCAGGCCAUUGUAUUAGACUUAGAAGUUUGACGAACGCAGUGUUUAUCUGUUGCAGGUUAAGAUUGUCGUCACUAGAACGGUUUGACCAUGCUAAAAACAUUCUAGGUUGGGGCACCUGGUAGUUUUCAUAAAAUCCAAUUC